GACGAACGCUAGCGGCGUGCCUAAUACAUGCAAGUAGAACGCUGAAGAGAGGAGCUUGCUCUUCUUGGAUGAGUUGCGAACGGGUGAGUAACGCGUAGGUAACCUGCCUGGUAGCGGGGGAUAACUAUUGGAAACGAUAGCUAAUACCGCAUAAAAUUGAUUAUUGCAUGAUAAUUAAUUGAAAGAUGCAACUGCAUCACUACCAGAUGGACCUGCGUUGUAUUAGCUAGUUGGUGAGGUAACGGCUCACCAAGGCGACGAUACAUAGCCGACCUGAGAGGGUGAUCGGCCACACUGGGACUGAGACACGGCCCAGACUCCUACGGGAGGCAGCAGUAGGGAAUCUUCGGCAAUGGGGGGAACCCUGACCGAGCAACGCCGCGUGAGUGAAGAAGGUUUUCGGAUCGUAAAGCUCUGUUGUAAGAGAAGAACGGGUGUGAGAGUGGAAAGUUCACACUGUGACGGUAUCUUACCAGAAAGGGACGGCUAACUACGUG
rnacentral:rRNA from 1 species